rnacentral:rRNA from 1 species
CGCACGGGUGAGUAACGCGUGGGAACAUACCCAGCUGUACGGAAUAACCAUGGGAAACUAUGGCUAAUACCGUAUACACCCCCCUUGUUAACCCUUGGGGGGGAAAGAUUUAUCGCAGUUGGAGUGGCCCGCGUAGGAUUAGGUAGUUGGUGGGGUAAAGGCCUACCAAGCCUACGAUCCUUAGCUGGUUUGAGAGGAUGAUCAGCCACACUGGGACUGAGACACGGCCCAGACUCCUACGGGAGGCAGCAGUGGGGAAUAUUGGACAAUGGGCGAAAGCCUGAUCCAGCAAUGCCGCGUGAGUGAAGAAGGCCUUAGGGUUGUAAAGCUCUUUCACCGGGGAAGAUUAUGACGGUACCCGGAGAAGAAGCCCCGGCUAACUCCGUGCCAGCAGCCGCGGUAAUACGGAGGGGGCUAGCGUUGUUCGGAAUUACUGGGCGUAAAGCGCGCGUAGGCGGCCUGUCAAGUUGGGUGUGAAAGCCCGGGGCUCAACCCCGGAAUUGCACUCAAAACUGGCAAGCUAGAG